rnacentral:rRNA from 1 species
GAUGAACGCUGGCGGCGUGCCUAAUACAUGCAAGUCGAGCGAACAGACGAGGAGCUUGCUCCUCUGACGUUAGCGGCGGACGGGUGAGUAACACGUGGAUAACCUACCUAUAAGAUUGGGAUAACUUCGGGAAACCGGAGCUAAUACCGGAUAAUAUAUUGAACCGCAGGGUUCAUUAGUGAAAGACGGUUUUGCUGUCACUUAUAGAUGGAUCCGCGCCGCAUUAGCUAGUUGGUAAGGUAACGGCUUACCAAGGCAACGAUGCGUAGCCGACCUGAGAGGGUGAUCGGCCACACUGGAACUGAGACACGGUCCAGACUCCUACGGGAGGCAGCAGUAGGGAAUCUUCCGCAAUGGGCGAAAGCUUGACGGAGCAACGCCGCGUGAGUGAUGAAGGUCUUCGGAUCGUAAAACUCUGUUAUUAGGGAAGAACAAAUGUGUAAGUAACUAUGCACGUCUUGACGGUACCUAAUCAGAAAGCCACGGCUAACUACGUG